GCCUCAGCUCCGUCCCGUCAGCACCAGCCAGCCAACCUGAAAAUAUUUGAAAGUAUUUUUGGGCUAAGUACUAAUGUACUUAGUGGGCAUGCAUUUUCAUAAACAUUUCAUAUUUUCGUAAGAGCAGUUUAUCCAAUCAUACUUGACAUGACUUAGAAGGUUUUAAAUUGAAAGAACUUCUAAGCAUGUUAAAACAUUUUUCAUUUGUGCGCACAUGUCACACUCCCUUUCUGUUACUCGCUGUGAUCCCGGACCUUUUAGCCACCGACGGAUCCAUUACUCCUGCUUUACUUGGACUGAGGGCGUAACCCAGCAAGUUCCCAUUUGGGACCCAAUGCUCCGGAACACAUCCCGUCGAGCACCCUUAUAACGCCUCAUACAUGAUUAGUGCCCGAAUGGAGAUCAACCCACCGAGUCAGCUAAUAGGUGUACACAAUUCUCAAACAACGUGUUAGGUCAUAAGAGAACCUCGAUCGAUUAACUUAUGCGAGCCUUAAACAGAGCAGAGUGCACAAAAUAUUUUAUUGGAUAAACAGUUUUCAUUACAUUAAAUAAACAAUUUGCAUUUCAUUGAAACAUUUAGAGCUUAAUAACUCAAUCAUACUUUGUACAUUUGGAAAGUAAGCCCACCUGGAUAGGCAAAGCCUGAAGAUCAUACACAUAUAAACCUGUCUUGGAAAAGUAGCGCUAAUCCUCCUGGUCAUCACAAAGCCUACAAGAAAUUCUAUUCUUAAUAGGUCUCGUGAAACUAACUUAAUAUUUGGGAAAUACUUAACAUUCUAUAAUUGUCACGCCGGGUUUCAAAAUUUAAUGAAUAAAUACUUGAAAACUAAAUUUUCUUGAGUUAAGGACACCAACAAUAUCCUUACUCGAUUUUCUUUUAGUUGUUUUAGGGUUCUAGCAUCCAUAAUUCGUUCCAUUAAAGACAAUCGAAAACCAACAUAACCUCGUGACUAACCACAUAAUAUCACGUAAUCACGUAAACAAUAAAAGAAAGAAAUAAAAUCCUCAAGUUUAGUAUCAUUAAAAUCACAAGUUCACAUGAACAUAAAAGAAAUCAUGCACCAUUUUUAUAACAUUCUAUACAUUUCAAUUUUUUUUUAUGUAAAUAAAUAAGAAAUUCCAUUAUUCAUUUAUAAAUAAUAAAACAUUUAAAAAUCCAUUGAGAUGAAAUAAAACAUUUUAACCAUUUAAAAUCCAUACUCAAAAAGCCUUGAAAUAUUAUAAAAAUGAGGGUUUAAUCCCAAAAUUUGUUUUCAUUUUUUAAAGUCCAUCAAUAAAUUAAAUAAAAGAACGGACCUCAUUUAAAAUAAAUAGUCCCAACCUUAAAUAUUAAAAUUUAAAUCAAGAGAUUUAAAUUCACUAAAAUAAUUUAGUGAAAAUUCAAACACAUAGGCAACACAAUCACAUAAGGCACAUAAGAAUCACAAUCAAACAUCAUAAAACAUGCUCUGUUUUUACACUGUCAACUUAAAAUUUAACUGUUCUGACUCGACAUCUCCUGGACUCGAGACUCAUACCAAAAGAAAGUCUUCGAGUCUAGUUUCAUAUAAAAAAAAGUAGAGCAAACUCCAAGUGGUUUGGAGAUAUGACGUUUUUACCACGUCUACCAUAUUCUGGCAGUUUUGGCAACGAAUAUUUUUGAAAAAUAGUAAACGUUGUCAAACUGGGCUCAAUUUGGUGGAUAUCUAGCUAACACAAUAAGGUUAUACCAUAAAAAUUGGAAAGCUAGAUCACAAGGAAGCUACUGAAAUGAAUGAUCUUCCCCUGUUCUCUGAAAUUCUCGGUAUAAUGUGCAGUUUGGUUUUGUCAUUUUAAAAAUAAAACGAAGUAAUCUUGAAAUUUUACCGGUACUCAAGACUCAUGUAGAUUGCUAUAAAAUUUUCAAAGCUAUUAGACAUCGAAAACCUCGAUCACAGUAGGUCAGUAGGCCUACGAAAUUCACCAAAAUCUCAUCUCAAAUUCUUUAAAUGCUCAAGAUUAUAUACUUAACUAAUUUCACACAAUUAACACAUAGAUCUAUUAAUAACCCUAGUUUUUAUUAAACUAAAUCUUUUGAAAAUAUCACUAAUCAUGUAUAACCUAUUGAUCAAAUCAUAGAUCUAACAACCUAGUUACCAAUUAGCACAAAUCAACAUCAUAAAACAAGAUCACAUAUAGAUACACAUGUAUGUCAUCUUCUUCCUCAAACUAACACUUUUCAUUUUUCACUUCUCAAUCUCAAGCUUCAAUCUCAUCCAUCAUUAAUCAUCUAGAUCAUCUCAUAAACUCAAAUCCAUCAUCAAUACAUCAAUUUAUCCAUAGGAUCUCAACAUCCCAAUUUUAGGUAAACUAACCUAAUAGAAAAAUCUAUAUCUCAUGGCUUAAUCAUCAAGAUAUUCAUAUAUAUACCCAAUAAUCAUCAAUCAUCAUAUAACUCAAGCAAUUCAAGAAAAAAACAACAAAAUUUCGUAGGGUUCAAGCCCCAAUUUUCGAAAAUUUCAUGAAAUAAGUUGGGUGAUUUUCUUGCUCAAUCAUGAUCAUAUACUCACAUAUAACAUCAUACAAUCUAGAUCUAUAAAAUAAGAUCACUUACCCAAGAUUAAACAAAGAUCAAAGUUUUCCUUUUUCUAAAUCUUCAAGAGUAAGCUCCACGGUUCUCUUGGAAUUUCAAGAAUUGUAAGGUGUUUAAGUUUGAUUUGGUGGAG
rnacentral:lncRNA from 1 species